UUCUCUUCGUUAUCGUUUCAGAUAUACGUAUACAUUUUCUAGAUGUUGAUUUAUAAAUCCUUCCAUCUUUAAGAUGAACACAUGGUAAUAUACUAUACUAUACCAUACUAUGCUAUACAAUAUGUAUUACUGUAAUCUCGUAAUUCCGUUCGUGAAAUCACUUUAUUUUGCUCAACGAAUGGGACAUUUUGAAUAUAUUUAAGGAAACUUUCGUAUUCGGGUUGUCAUGAUUUGUAGAAAAGUUCUCAGUCAUUUUUUAGAAGCGACUUUUCGACAAAAAAUAGAAAAGCGUGUGGAAUUUGUCUUAGAAAAAUGUGGAAUCGUUGGGAGCGUUCGAUUUUAAACGGAUGCGAGUAGUAUGAUCUAUCGGUGGUUAGACCGAAAGAGGAAACUGUCUGGUAUUUACAGUUAGACGAUCGCUCUGGCUAUCAACCCGUCCUCGAACAGAAUUCCGAAUUUUUCGUUCGCCAGCAAUGGCGAACCAUUCGCGAGCUAUCCUCUACUUUCGAUUUAAUCUGUCGUUCUUCUUUUGAAAAUACACUGAGGCACACAUUAAGAAGCCCCGGAAACGGAGAAAAUGAAAGAAAGUGUUGCAGAAUGUUGAAAGCUAGAGAUCUCAAAUUUUCAAAGAUUCCACAGUAAUUGUUGAACUACUUGUUGGUAUAAAAUAUUUGUUAUAAAAAAUACACAAGCAUGCAGAAAAUAUAUAAAAGAUUCAGAAUAUAGUAUAUAUCCUUACCGAAGUUUUGAAGCCCUCGACGAAGCGUCCUAUACAUAUACACGGAAGAUGAGAAAUGGAAAUUGAGAACGAGAGAAAUACUUUCACUAAAUAUUAUGGUUGAACGUUGAAUGAAAAAAAAAAAUUUUCGAUCCAUCUGAAAGCUGAAAUCGUUUUGUUGAAGCAGGAAACAAGUUGAUGAAGGAUAUGCUAAAAAAAAAGAAAAGAUCAUAUUAGAUGACUGAUACUAUUGAAAACACGUUCCUGAAACUGAAACUUCAAAGUAAUCUCGUAAUUAAUUCUGUCAGUUUUAAUUUCCAAAAAAUAGAAUGACAUCAUCCGUCGAGUUUUUAUUGGGGGAAUUUAUUGAACGCUCUGUAAAGUGAAUAACUUGUAAUAUUUAGGAAUGAAGGUAAUUUCAGCGCAACCCGUAAUUUUAUUCAAACUGCCAAUUCUCGACACUUUUUGCUAACAUCCGAGGAAUCUUGUGCCUCGCUUCGAAAUGAAAUUAUCCGAGAAAGUAAAAAUGAAUCAAGAAACUCGAUAAAAGUGAUUAAUUAAGGGCGUAAUUAUUUGUACCUGCAAUUGAAGUGUAUUAAAUCGAACGUCGUUAAGAUUUGAUUUAGGAAUUGUUAUAGAAACAAUAAAAGUAUGUUAUUUCAUAUUAUUUGUUGAA